rnacentral:rRNA from 1 species
GAUGAACGCUGGCGGCGUGCUUAACACAUGCAAGUCGAACGGAAAGGCCCUGCUUGCCGGGUACUCGAGUGGCGAACGGGUGAGUAACACGUGGGUGAUCUGCCCUGCACUUCGGGAUAAGCCUGGGAAACUGGGUCUAAUACCGGAUAUGACCUUCCAUGUAGUGUGGGGGGUGGAAAGAUUUAUCGGUGUGGGAUGAGCCCGCGGCCUAUCAGCUUGUUGGUGGGGUAAUGGCCUACCAAGGCGUCGACGGGUAGCCGGCCUGAGAGGGUGGACGGCCACAUUGGGACUGAGAUACGGCCCAGACUCCUACGGGAGGCAGCAGUGGGGAAUAUUGCACAAUGGGCGGAAGCCUUAUGCAGCGACGCCGCGUGGGGGAUGACGGCCUUCGGGUUGUAAACCUCUUUCGACAGGGACGAAGCUUCGGUGACGGUACCUGGAGAAGAAGCACCGGCUAACUACGUG